rnacentral:rRNA from 1 species
UCCUACGGGAGGCAGCAGUGGGGAAUUGUUCGCAAUGGGCGCAAGCCUGACGACGCAACGCCGCGUGGAGGAUGAAGAUCUUCGGGUCGUAAACUCCUUUCGAUCGAGACGAACAGCCUCUGGGUGAACAAUCCGGAGGUCUGACGGUACCGAGAGAAGAAGCCCCGGCUAACUCCGUGCCAGCAGCCGCGGUAAUACGGGGGGGGCAAGCGUUGUUCGGAAUUACUGGGCGUAAAGGGCUCGUAGGCGGCCAACUAAGUCAGACGUGAAAUCCCUCGGCUUAACCGGGGAACUGCGUCUGAUACUGGAUGGCUUGAGUUUGGGAGAGGGAUGCGGAAUUCCAGGUGUAGCGGUGAAAUGCGUAGAUAUCUGGAGGAACACCGGUGGCGAAGGCGGCAUCUUGGACCAACACUGACGCUGAGUGAGCGAAAGCCAGGGGAGCAAACGGGAUUAGAUACCCCGGUAGUCCUGGCCCUAAACGAUGAAUGCUUGGUGUGGCGGGUAUCGAUCCCUGCCGUGCCGAAGCUAACGCAUUAAGCAUUCCGCCUGGGGAGUACGGUCGCAAGGCUGAAACUCAAAGAAAUUGACGGGGGCCCGCACAAGCGGUGGAGCAUGUGGUUCAAUUCGACGCAACGCGAAGAACCUUACCCAGGCUUGAACUGCGAGUGACCACUCACGAAAGUGAGCUUCCGCAAGGACACUCGUAGAGGUGCUGCAUGGCUGUCGUCAGCUCGUGUCGUGAGAUGUUGGGUUAAGUCCCGCAACGAGCGCAACCCUUGUUUGCUGUUGCCAUCAGGUUAUGCUGGGCACUCUGCAAAGACUGCCGGUGAUAA